CCACUCAUGAACACUAUGUUGAACUCCCAGUUGCAAAGCCUUAUCUCCUAUCCAUCCUUUUUCCUUACACCAAAACCCUCCAUUCUCUUCCAUGGCUUCACUUCUCUCCCUGUCCAUCCAUGCCAACACUUCCUCAAAAGAAAAACCAACUUUUGCAUACGUACCAAUUACAAUGUUGGUGCCAAAACUGGCUCAUCAUCAAUGGCUACUUCAAUUGAUCAAAACCCAGUUUCAGUUAAGGCAGCUGUGACAGUUAAGGUCACUACUGGAGAGUUCUUCUCCAACCUUGGGUUAACCAAACCUGUUGAUGAUUUCACUGAUUUAUUUGGUGAAACAUUACUUUUGGAGCUCAUUAGCGCUGAGCUAGAUCAUGUCCUUUUUACCAUCAGACACUCCUAGUGGAUUGAAGAGGCUAAGUGAACUGGAGCUGGAAAAUCUAAGAGGCACUGGAGAAGGGAAGAGGAAGUCAUUUGAGAGGAUCUAUGACUAUGACACAUAUAAUGACCUUGGUGACCAGAUAAAAGCAGUGAAUUGGCACGACCUGUCCUUGGAGGCAAAGACCACCCAUUCCCAAGACGCUGCAGAACAGGACGUCCACGUUGUAUAAAGGACCCUUUGUCGGAACAAAGAAGCAGCAGUGUAUAUGUGCCUAGGGACGAGGCAUUCUCAGAGGUGAAGCAGUUAACAUUUUCAGCAAAGACCCUAAAAUCUGUGAUGCAUGCACUGCUGCCUCAGCUUGAGAUAUCACUUCUUGACCCCCACUUGGGAUUUCCACACUUCACUGCCAUAGACUCACUAUUUUGUGAAGGACUCACAUUGCCUAAGCCUACAAAUGCCGGCUUCUUUCAGUCAAUACUACCAAAGCUAGUGAAGGCUGUAACUGAUACUCAAGAGAAUCUUUUGCUCUUUGAGACCCCUGCGUUCAUUGAUAGAGAUAAAUUUGCUUGGUUCAGGGAUGAAGAAUUUUCUAGGCAAACUCUAGUUGGUCUUAACCCAUAUAGCAUACAACUAGUUACGGCCUUGAAAAGUAAGAUGCUAUUUGUGUUGGAUUAUCAUGAUCUAUUACUACCUUAUGUGAACAAAGUAAGAGAGGUAGAAGGGACUACAUUGUAUGGUUCAAGGGCAUUGUUCUUCCUUACUAAGGAUGGCACACCAAGGCCUGUUGCCAUUGAACUCACCCGGCCUCCAACUGGUGACAAACCCCAAUGGAAGCAGGUUUUUACCCCAACGUGGGAUGCCACAGGUUGCUGGCUGUGGAGGCUGGCUAAAGCUCAUGUUUGUGCUCAUGACCUUGGUUAUCACCAGCUUGUCAUUCACUGGCUGAGGACUCACUGCUGUACAGAGCCAUACAUAAUUGCAGCUAACAGACAAUUAAGUGCAAUGCAUCCAAUUUACAGACUUUUACAUCCUCAUUUCAGAUACACAAUGGAAAUCAAUGCUCUUGCCAGAGAGAGCCUCAUUAAUGCAGGUGGGAUAAUUGAAAGUGCAUUCUCGCCGGCUAAAUACUCCAUUGAACUCAGUUUUGCUACUUACAACCAGCUCUGGUGGUUUGACAUGGAAGCUUUGCCAGCAGAUUUGAUUAGAAGGGGAAUGGCAGUUAAGGAUCCAAUAGCUGAGCAUGGCCUGAGGUUAACCUUCGAAGACUACCCUUUUGCCAAUGAUGGUCUAAUCCUUUGGGAUGCCAUUAAGCAAUGGGUAAGUGAUUGUGUGAACCACUACUACACUGAACCAUCUCUUGUCCAGUCUGAUGGGGAGCUUCAAGCUUGGUUGGACAGAAGUUAGAACAAAAGGCCAUGCAGACAAGAAGGAUGAGCCAUGGUGGCCAGUCCUGGAAACUCCAGAAAAUCUAAUUCAUAUAUUAACAACCAUAAUCUGGGUAAAUGCUGGACACCAUGCAGCUUGUGAACUUUGGGUGGUAUAUGUUUGCUGGUUACUUCCCUAACCGGCAUACUAUAGCUCGAACCAACAUGCCAACUGAGAAUCCAUCUGAUGAAGAAUUCAAGAACUUUUUGAAAAAACCAGAAGUUGAACUGUUGAAAUGCUUCCCUUCACAGAUUCAAGCAACCAAGGUGAUGGCUGUUUUGGAUGUUCUAUCAAAUCACUCACCAUAUGAGGAGUUAUCUUGGUGAGAAUAUGGAACCAUCUUGGGAAGAAAAUCCUGUCAUAAAAGCUGCAUUUGAACAGUUUAGUGGCAGACUGAAGGAGCUUGAGGGAAUCAUUGAUGAGAGGAACACCAAUUUGAAACGGAAGAAUAGAGUUGGAGCUGGAGUUGUACCAUAUGAGCUCUUGAAGCCAUUCUCAAAGCCAAGGGUCACUGGUAGGGGAGUUCCUAAUAGCAUAUCCAUCUAAUGCGAUGGUAGUAGCAUCAGUUUUUGUGUAAAUAAAAUUGGGUACAUGUACUGAGGAAUUUCACAACUCUUCCAUCCCAUGUGAUUUUCUUGGUCUUGGAUAAGAUGGUUAAAACUUAAAAUGCUAUUAGUUCAAUUCCAAUCAGAUCUAAUUUUUGGUCACCACAAUAAUUGUAGUCAAAACCACAAUAAGCUGAGGAAUCAACUUUGAGGUGCAUUUUGAUGAACUGGGGAUUGAAGAUUAAAAGACUACAUGACUUGCACACACAUCUUAAUUGAGAUCGGACUUUAGGUAGUAUCAGGAGCAUCUUGGUGAUAAUAUCGCGAUUCGUAAAGAAGCUUUGAUGUUGACGUCUCAUAGAUCGGCGGUGAGAUUGAUGGAGCCGGUGAUGAGUUGUGGAGGGGGAGAGAAGAACCAAGAGGUGGAGGGUGAGUGAGUGACUGGCUGAGUGCCUGAGAGUGAGAGAGAUGGGGAACAAGCAAGUGUAAAAUGUGCACAUUUAUGGAACAGGUAAAGAGAAGGAACAGGCCUAGAGAAGUCACUAAGUGGAGCCCACUACGGAACUUGAGUCAACCCAUUACAAUCCACAAUUUGCAUCCAAUGGGUCAGGGUCUUAGAGAAUAUUAAAACAAAGGCCGGAACAGAUACUAUCAUUAUGGCUU